GCCCUUGUUGGUGAAUGGUAAAUCACUCACCACCCAUAACUCAUCGCGAAUGGUGUCAGUGGGAGACAGAGGUUCGACUCCUCUCGAGGGCA